rnacentral:misc_RNA from 1 species
GAUGAAGAACGUAGCAAAAUGCGAUACUUGGUGUGAAUUGCAGAAUCCCGUGAACCAUCGAGUUUUUGAACGCAAGUUGCGCCCGAAGCCUUUUGGCCGAGGGCACGUCUGCCUGGGCGUCACGCAUCGCGUCGCCCCCCACAAUUCUCCGUAAAGGGAACAUGUGUUUUGGGGGCGGAUAUUGGUCUCCCGUGCUCAUGGCGUGGUUGGCCGAAAUAGGAGUCCUUUCGAUGGACGCACGAACUAGUGGUGGUCGUAAAAACCCUCGUCUUUUGUUUCGUGCUGUUGCUCGCAAGGUAAACUCUUUAAAAACCCCAAUGUGUCGUCUCUUGACGACGCUUUGACCGCGACCCCAGGUCAGGCGGGACUACCCGCUGAGUUUAAGCAUAUCAAUAAGCGGAGGA